rnacentral:lncRNA from 1 species
GGUUCUGCGUUUGUCUCGUGGUAAAGUUUAACUGUAUGUUCCGAGAUUUUUCUAGAAAUUACUUGAAUUCUGCAUGUCCUAGCACUAUGACUAUGUAAAACUAUUACUUUCUGUCUGUUUUUGUUUUGUGCACAUAAAAUAUAGGAAAAGUUUUACUUUAGACAAAUUGAGGACAAAAUCGAAAGAGUUGUUUAUUUUUUUAAAUAACUUUCAAGUUUUCAUUCAAGCUAGAGUUUCAAUAUCUAUAUCUCCAGAAAAGAGGCAAUUAUAGGUUCCUGAAAACUCGUACAGUGAGGACGACAUGUGUUUAUGUUAUUUGUCAGUCAGAUUCGACAUCAUAUAAUCUUACCGAGAAAAACUGUAGAUUACAAUCUAGCCAUGCUAUACUAUAACGAAUUUCUAUCGACAUUAACAAAUUUAAGACGUAAAGUUUUUAAAGACCUGACAUCAAUUACAAUAACACUGUUUGUCUUGUUAUAAAGAAAAACUUGAUGAUACAUCACUUUUGAUCUGUUUGGAGUUUUUUUUAGUGCUUUAAUUUACUUUUUAAAAUGCAAUAACUAAUCGUUGCGUGAGUCUUAAAGUGUUCUGUGUCAACUUUUGAUGAAAAGGUAAGAUAGAUAUACAUUAGAGAUUCAUGUCACCUUUCCCACCCUUACAACUUUAAUGACAGUUUUCUGCGUUCUACGAUUGUUUCGUCUUCACAACAAUACUGUAUUAUUUGCAUACCUCCUUAUGCAUUACAAUUAAAGUCGAAAAUUCAUAACUCCAUAUUUCUCAUUCAUGAAUCUAGGAUCUAUUGUUUUCAACUUUUUCUCCAACAGUUAGAACAUUACAAUACUAACACGACCAACUAUAGUUUAAUUUUAAACGAUACCUCUUAAAGGUGGUCAAUUUUGUCAAAACGUCGUGAUGAUCCUGCUUGGUUUUUUUCAUAUUUGCUUUAUAGAUUUAUGGCUAAGUAUUACAGGUUUUUCGAUAGUCUGACGCUGCUGAAACACAUGUUUGCUGUUUGUGUGAGGCCAAGGGUCAAAAUAAGAUAUCUUGAUUACUUAGUUUGUCUAACGUGCAUGCAAGUAUAUUAUUUUUCGACUGUCCUUAAUAUCAAAAAGACGUAUUUUUUUGUCAAUUUCAUGUGGUGCUUUCACGUUUAUUUUGUUUAAUUGUAAGGUAGUUUAAAACCUGACACAACAAAAAAGGGGUUGUCAGCUGUAUCUGAGGAUUUGCUUUAUAUUGGGGUUUAUUAUAUUGAUAAAGGCUAGUGUAUCAAAUCUAUUUAAUGUAAUUCCAUCAAAGCACUAUAAGAGACUUUUGAUUUAUUAUCGUCGUCCGGUUGGCAAAUUUGAUUGAAUGCACACUUAACAUGUUUGUAAACAUUUAAUAUAGAAGGAAAUCAGUCAUGUCCAGUGCACGAUGAAUAAUCGAUAUUGCAGACAUCGCGAUAUCUAUAAUGUUAACACGACAUUGUGUCAACAACGUUUUCAUUGUUUGAACCCUUAUAUAUUGUUUACAUUGUUGACAUCG